CUGUCUCAGUUCGGAUUGGAGGCUGAAACCCGCCUCCAUGAAGUUGGAUUCGCUAGUAAUCGCGCAUCAGCCAUGGCGCGGUGAAUACGUUCCCGGGCCUUGUACACACCGCCCGUCACACCAUGGGAGCCGGUAAUACCCGAAGUCAGUAGUCCAACCACGUGAGGACGCUGCCGAAGGUAGGAUUGGCGACUGGGGUGAAGUCGUAACAAGGUACC
rnacentral:rRNA from 1 species